rnacentral:rRNA from 1 species
GACGAACGCUGGCGGCGUGCUUAACACAUGCAAGUCGAACGCUGAAGCUUGGUGCUUGCACUGGGUGGAUGAGUGGCGAACGGGUGAGUAAUACGUGAGUAACCUGCCCUUGACUCUGGGAUAAGCCUGGGAAACUGGGUCUAAUACUGGAUAUGACAUGCCACUGCAUGGUGGUGUGUGGAAAGGGCUUUACUGGUUUUGGAUGGGCUCACGGCCUAUCAGCUUGUUGGUGGGGUAAUGGCCUACCAAGGCGACGACGGGUAGCCGGCCUGAGAGGGUGACCGGCCACACUGGGACUGAGACACGGCCCAGACUCCUACGGGAGGCAGCAGUGGGGAAUAUUGCACAAUGGGCGGAAGCCUGAUGCAGCGACGCCGCGUGAGGGAUGACGGCCUUCGGGUUGUAAACCUCUUUCAGCACGGAAGAAGCGAGAGUGACGGUACGUGCAGAAGAAGCGCCGGCUAACUACGUG